GUUCCAGUGACUAAUCCAUUAGAAUAAGGAUUGAAAC
rfam:Halanaerobium kushneri strain ATCC 700103 genome assembly, contig: Ga0104713_127